rnacentral:rRNA from 1 species
GACGAACGCUGGCGGCGUGCCUAAUACAUGCAAGUCGAACGGUCUUUUCUAUGGAAGCUUGCUUCCGCUGAGAAGAUAGUGGCGAACGGGUGAGUAACACGUGGGUAACCUGCCCAUAAGAGGGGGAUAACAUCCGGAAACGGGUGCUAAUACCGCAUAGUUUUCUUGAUCGCAUGAUUGAGAAAGGAAAGACGGCCUUUGUGCUGUCGCUCAUGGAUGGACCCGCGGCGUAUUAGUUAGUUGGUGAGGUAACGGCUCACCAAGACGAUGAUACGUAGCCGACCUGGGAGGGUGAUCGGCCACAUUGGGACUGAGACACGGCCCAAACUCCUACGGGAGGCAGCAGUAGGGAAUCUUCCGCAAUGGACGAAAGUCUGACGGAGCAACGCCGCGUGAGUGGAGAAGGUUUUCGGAUCGUAAAACUCUGUUGUCAGAGAAGAACAAGUCGGAGAGUAACUGCUCCGGCCUUGACGGUAUCUGACCAGAAAGCCACGGCUAACUACGUGCCAGCCGCCGCGGUAAAAC